rnacentral:rRNA from 1 species
AAAGAGACAGCAGGUAGAAGCCGGAAACGGUAACGAACGGUAGUCCAACCCGGAAGCUGUCACAGGUGCUGCAUGGCUGUCGUCAGCUCGUGUCGUGAGAUGUCGGGUUAAGUCCCAUAACGAGCGAAACCCUUACCUUUAGUUGCUACCGAAAGGGCACUCUAGAGGGACUGCCGGUGUUAAACCGGAGGAAGGUGGGGAUGACGUCAAGUCCUCAUGGCCUUUAUGUCCAGGGCUGCACACGUGCUACAAUGGCGUGAACAAAGUGACGCGACUUUGCGAAAAGAAGCAAAUCACAUAAAUCACGCCCCAGUUCAGAUCGAAGGCUGCAACUCGCCUUCGUGAAGCCGGAAUCGCUAGUAAUCGCGGGUCAGCAACACCGCGGUGAAUGUGUUCCUGAGCCUU